GACGAACCGUGCGAACGUUGUUCGGAAUCACUGGGCUUAAAGGGCGCGUAGGCGGCAGGUCAAGUCCGGGGUGAAAGCCCCCAGCUCAACUGGGGAAGUGCCUUGGAUACUGGCGUGCUCGAGGGAGGUAGGGGCCCGCGGAACUUCUGGUGGAGCGGUGAAAUGCGUUGAUAUCAGAAGGAACGCCGGUGGCGAAAGCGGCGGGCUGGACCUUUUCUGACGCUGAGGCGGCGAAAGCCAGGGGAGCAAACAGGG
rnacentral:rRNA from 1 species